rnacentral:rRNA from 1 species
UACGAAGGGGGCUAGCGUUGCUCGGAAUCACUGGGCGUAAAGGGCGCGUAGGCGGCCUGAUCAGUCGGGGGUGAAAGCCUGUGGCUCAACCACAGAAUGGCCUCGAUACUGUCAGGCUUGAGACCGGAAGAGGUAAGUGGAACUGCGAGUGUAGAGGUGAAAUCGUAGAUAUUCGCAAGAACACCAGUGGCGAAGGCGGCUUACUGGUCCGGAUCUGACGCUGAGGCGCGGAAAACGUGGGGGAGCGAACGAG